GAUGAACGCUAGCGGCAGGCUUAGUACAUGCAAGUCGAGGGACAGCACAGGUAGCAAUACUGGGUGGUAACCGGCAAACGGGUGCGGAACACGCACACAACCUUCCUUUAAGUGGGGGAUAGCCCAGAGAAAUUUGGAUUAAUACCCCGUAAUAUAGCGAUGUGGCAUCACAUUGCUAUUAUAGCUACGGCGCUUAAUGAUGGGUGUGCGGCUGAUUAGAUAGUUGGCGGGGUAACGGCCCACCAAGUCUACGAUCAGUAGCUGAUGUGAGAGCAUGAUCAGCCACACGGGCACUGAGACACGGGCCCGACUCCUACGGGAGGCAGCAGUAAGGAAUAUUGGUCAAUGGACGCAAGUCUGAACCAGCCAUGCCGCGUGAAGGAUUAAGGUCCUCUGGAUUGUAAACUUCUUUUAUUUGGGACGAAAAAGGGUCUCUCUAGAUCAGCUGACGGUACCAGAUGAAUAAGCACCGGCUAACUCCGUGCCAGCCGCCGCAGUAAGAC
rnacentral:rRNA from 1 species